rnacentral:rRNA from 1 species
CAGCGUCACGAGUGGCAAUCAGAUUUAUUGGGUCUAAAGCGUCCGUAGCCGGUUUGAUAAGUCUUUUGUGAAAUUGUUGUGCUUAACAUAACAACGUGCAAGAGAUACUGUCAGACUUGGAACUGGGAGGGGUUAGAGGUAUUCCUUGGGGAGCGGUAAAAUGCUAUAAUCCUUGGAGGACCACCUGUGGCGAAGGCUUCUAACCAGAACAGCUUCGACGGUGAGGGACGAAAGCUAGGGGAGCAAACCGGAUUAGAUACCCGAGUAGUCC